UACGAAGGGGGCUAGCGUUGUUCGGAAUUACUGGGCGUAAAGCGCGCGCAGGCGGUUCUUUAAGUCAGGGGUGAAAGCCCAGAGCUCAACUCUGGAAUUGCCUUUGAAACUAGAGAACUUGGGUACGGGAGAGGUGAGUGGAAUUCCGAGUGUAGAGGUGAAAUUCGUAGAUAUUCGGAAGAACACCAGUGGCGAAGGCGGCUCACUGGCCCGUUACCGACGCUCAGGCGCGACAGCGUGGGGAGCGAACAGG
rnacentral:rRNA from 1 species